rnacentral:sRNA from 1 species
GCAAUCAAAAUUAUUGAAAUAUCAAUUUA